ensembl:snoRNA
AAUCCCGUUGAAGUACCUUCCACUCUGAACCAUGGAUGGAUGGCUAUGCUAAUGGGAUAGAAGAACUCUGUCAUGGUCUGAAGGUGUGGUUGCGUCGGUGUUUCCUCACCCAAUAAAAUGACAGAAUACUACCAA